GCCAGACUCCUACGGGAGGCAGCAGUGGGGAAUAUUGGGCAAUGGGCGCAAGCCUGACCCAGCAACGCCGCGUGAAGGAAGAAGGCUUUCGGGUUGUAAACUUCUUUUGUCAGGGACGAAGCAAGUGACGGUACCUGACGAAUAAGCCACAGCUAACUACGUGCCAGCAGCCGCGGUAAUACGUAGGUGGCAAGCGUUAUCCGGAUUUAUUGGGUGUAAAGGGCGUGUAGGCGGGAAUGCAAGUCAGAUGUGGAAACUAGGGGCGCAACCCAUAGCCUGCAUUUGAAACUGUAUUUCUUGAGUGCUGGAGAGGCAAUCGGAAUUCCGUGUGUAGCGGUGAAAUGCGUAGAUAUACGGAGGAGCACCAGUGGCGAAGGCGGAUUGCUGGACAGUAACUGACGCUGAGGCGCGAAAGCGUGGGGAGCAAACAGGAUUAGAUACCCGGGUAA
rnacentral:rRNA from 1 species